rnacentral:rRNA from 1 species
AUACGUAGGGGGCGAGCGUUGUCCGGAAUGACUGGGCGUAAAGGGCGUGUAGGCGGCCGAUUAAGUCUGGAGUGAAAGUCCCGCUUUCAAGGUGGGAAUUGCUUUGGAGACUGGUUGGCUUGAGUGCGGAAGAGGUAAGUGGAAUUCCCAGUGUAGCGGUGAAAUGCGUAGAGAUUGGGAGGAACACCAGUGGCGAAGGCGACUUACUGGGCCGUAACUGACGCUGAGGCGCGAAAGCGUGGGGAGCGAACAGGAUUAGAUACCCUGGUAGUCCACGCGGUAAACGAUGAAUGCUAGGUGUUGCGGGUAUCGACCCCUGCAGUGCCGGAGUCAACACAAUAAGCAUUCCGCCUGGGGAGUACGGCCGCAAGGUUGAAACUCAAAUGAAUUGACGGGG